GCUUUCCCGCCGGCGGCGGCGGCGGCCGCGGCCGCGGGCCGGGGAGACGGCCUUGCAGAGCGCGGGAUCCCAGGGCUGCGAGGGUGACCCAGAGCAAGCCCUGGCGCACGCGCGCUCCGCUCGACGCGGUGCUCCCGGGGCCCUCGUGCGCUCUGCUGGGGAAAAGAAAAAAAGCUUCUGCCAAUGCCAGUGCAGCUGUGUGUCCGCUGUAGUUGUGCAGGUUAAUUCUGCGCGAGCGAAAACACCGAGAAAGACGUUCAGGCACUGGAUAUCCACGCAGGCCUUAAGGAACCCCUGUGCAGCCUUGUGCCACGAGAGGAGUGGAUUCACUAACUUUCACGCUGAUUCCUCAAACCAAGUUGUUUCAUUUUUGGCCAAAACUCUUUAUGUUGAUCACUUUCCUUGAGUACCUACUGUCUGCCUAGUGUUGGAGACAUGGAAAUAAACGAUAAUUGUUUUGCCUGAAAACAGCACAGUUUAGUGGAGAGGACAGACAACUGAGCAGAUACUUACCAAAGCAUGCUUAGUGUUAGGGCACAGGCCCUGGGAAACGAGAAAGAUGCGCCUCCGACAGGAAGUCCAGGCUACAUCUGGAGGGAGGAGAGGCCUGCAGAGCCUGAUGAGGACUGCCACCAUCACCUCCCCCGAAGGAGGACCAGCUGGAGCUGAGGAGCAAGGUAAUGCUCAAGAAGUGAGCAGUCCAGAGCUGGUGAGGUGAUUCUGCCAUCCCCAACAUGUGAACUCCAGGGUGACUUUGCCAUUUGUCAUGAUUUUCUAGCCACAGGAUGGAGAAAGAGGAAGUAGAAGGCCUGCAGUUUCCAUUUUAGGAUGUUACAUACUUCAUGUUCACUCAUAUCCCAUUGGUCAGAGCUUGGUCACAGGGCCAUGCAAGGUGCAGGGGAGGCUGGGAAAGGUAUUUUUGGACCGGAUGACCAUGUAUCUUGCUGAAUCUCAGAAAACUUCUAUUAUUAAAGGUACUAAAGUCUGAAUGGAUAUGGGAGGAAAAUCAUUAAUCUUCACCAUGGCUGUCUUUUGCCAAGAGCCCAAUAAGGUUUGGCUGUGUCCCCACCCAAAUCUCAUCUUGAAUUGUAGCUCCUAUAAUUCCCACGUACUGUGGAAGGGACCUGGUGGGAGAUAAUUGGAUCCUGGGGGCAGGUCUUUCCCGUGCUAUUCUUGUGAUAGUGAAUAAGUCUCACAAGAUUUGAUAGUUUUGUAAAGGGGAGUUUCCCUGCACAAGCUCUCUUCUCUUGUCUGCUGCCAUGUGAGAUGUGCCUUUCACCUUCUGCCAUGAUUGUGAGGCCUCCUUAGCUACGUAGAACUGUGAGUCCAUUAAACCUCUUUCUCUUGUAAAUUGCCCAGUCUCGGGUAUGUCUUUAUCAGCAGUAUGAAAACAGACUAAUACAGAGCUAUAACAAUGAAUAAAAAAAUCAACAUUCUGAAAUUUCAUACCAUUCCUCCCAAUAGCACAGCAUGUAGAGUUGGCCACAUUUUACCUAAAUCUUUUGCCAUCACCAAAUUACUGACCUGGAAUAAUUUAAUCUUACUGCCUUCUAUCCUACCUCUUCUGCUCAGCCAAUUAAUAUUUUAGAGUCUAUUUCUCAUAGCAAACCACUUCAAAACAUAAAAUUCUGUCUCAAGUAGGAAUGCUUAUGGCUGCAAGUAAUGACAACCUGAUCAAUAGCUUAAAAAGGGGUUUAUUUUUCUCAUUACAUAAAAAGUCUAGAGUAGUGGUUUCUGGCAUUGGUUCCAAUGCUGCAGCCGAGGACUAAGACUCUUUCUUUCAUUCUGCUUGACUUUUCUUAACAUGUUGGCUUUUUGACUUCUUCUUUGUUAUUUUGUGCUUGCAAGAUGAUUGCUAUGGUUCCAGCCAUCACAUCUAUUUCUUUUUUUUUUUUUUUGAGAUGGAGUUUUGCUCUUGUUGCCCAGGCUGGAGUGCAAGGGCAUGAUCUCAGCUUACCGCAACCUCCACCUCCUGGGUUCAAGUGAUUCUCCUGCUUCAGUCCCCCUAGUAGCUGGGAUUACAGACAUGCGCCACCAUGCCCAGCUAAUUUUUUUUUUUUUUUUUUUUUUUAGUAGAGAUAGGGUUUCUCCAUGUUGGUCAGGCUGGUCUUAAACUCCCAACCUCAGGUGGUCCACCCGCCUUGGCCUCCCAAAG
rnacentral:lncRNA from 1 species